rnacentral:lncRNA from 1 species
GACGCCAACCCGACGCGAGUCGCCCGGCGUUUUCUUCGACCAUCGUCAUCCGAUUCCCAACCCGAGAAGGAGUUCGUCGCGUUGCAGAAAUAUGCGAAACGAGAGCCGGCUUGGUUGUUGUUUGUGUAAACAUCUUUACGUCGUGGCCUCGGGGCCAACACGGUUGGGUUCAGGUUUGAAUGAUUGAAGAUCUUCCUGAAUGAUCCUUGAGACUACUGAGGUAACCGACUGCGAUGGUCCGAUCACGACGGGGCGAUUAUUUUCUCCUGGAGGGAACUCUACCCCUUCGACGAUCAAGUUAAUCGAUAGUCUUACGGGAUUUUUCUCAUCUAAUCUUCUUCUCUUUUUCGUUCCGAACAUGAGGGUUUUUAUAGGGAAGGUCACCGUUUCCUGUGCCCGCUUGCAGGGAGCAGGAUCGUACCUGGGAUAACGUCUGACACCGAUGUUCGCGUUGCGUGAAGGACCGGACUCCUACAAGAUGGCGACGUGCCUCGGUGGGCGUUUUGGUCUGCCUCGGCUAGGCGCUAUCAGGUCAAACGAGGCAGAUGACCCAGCAGCUCCUUGGUCUGCGUGAUCUAAGAGACGUCACCCGGGAGCAGAUGACGUCAGUUGUCAUCGGCCCCUAUUGCGUCCAAAUAUCUCGCUUCCCACCACCACCAGAACCAUCACCGAAGUGAUCGCCGACCAAGAAGAGGACCGACCACUACAUCCUGAGGCUCGAUCUUUCUGACGCCUGGACGACUGCCAGAUCCAGCUCCCCUCUGCUUCGCCCCCCUACUCGUGCAGAAUCCCAACACAGAGGUGGUAACCCGAACUUGUAUGUUAAUUGGUUGGGUCAUAAACACAAACAGUUGAUCGUCACUUGGAUGUAGGACGAUUUUUCCUCCGCGCACACGUAUUUUGGGAUCAAGCAUAAAAAAAAAACCAGAUUUUAACAUAGCACACCUAACCUUGGCCAUCUGAUUAAUUUAGAGGUAAUUAUCGUUUUUCGCAUUUGUAUCAAAAAUAUUUGCUGCGUGACUUAAAAAGGUGCUUUUCUAUACAAGAAUAUGUUUAUAAAACCCUUCAGAAGUUUGUGGAUUAGGAUAUAUUCUUGAAUAUGUAAUCGCCUAUAAAACUUUUUUCCAGCCUAUGACAAAUGUGACCGCAAUGUUUAUCUCGAGCAAUAAGAGUUGCAUGAAACUUUUUUUUCUUGAUCUACACAAAGGAUUGCUUUUUCAUUUUAGUGUGAUCUUAAUUUAGCUACCUUGGAUAAUUUGGUAGUUUCUAUUCGAGCACCAUGUAUGCUAUUCAAGUUCCUUAGAUUUUAUACUAUUGUUCUUCUAAACUUGCUUCUCUGCUUAAAGAUCGCAAAUAUAAAGCUACUGGCUUAAGUGUGGAAUAAAAUUUUACAAAUCAUGUCAGGUCAGUUUGUCUUAUGGAGUAUAAUUUUUCAC